ensembl:lncRNA
AGGAGACCUUAAUUUGAAUUUUGCCCUUUACUCUUCAGGUCUUCUUGCUUUCAUGCUGAACCUGCCUUUUUUGGAACAACACAAGGGGCUGUGGGAAGGAAUUUAUAGCCUGCUUGGCUUGGACUUCCAUGUCUUCCCAUAGUAGACAAUUUUAUCUGGGGAGGAGAAAGAAAAUAAAGUAAAAGAAGAGAGAAGAGAAGAGAAGAGAAGAGAAGAGAAGAGAAGAGAAGAGAAGAGAAGAGAAGAGAAGAGAAGAGAAGAGAAGAGAAGAGAAGAGAAGAGAAGAGAAGAGAAGAGAAGAGUAGUAUUCCCAGUAUUCCCCAUUCCCAGACCUCACUAUCUCACUGCCAGCACAGAGAUGUAGGACAUAUGGAAUGGAU